AGUUCUGGCCGCUUCACAAAGGUCUUCUCCCUGCUCUAUCUCCAGCACGUAGAACUGUCUGUUUCCAGCAUGUAGCAGACACUCAAAGCUGUGUGUUGAAUUAACACAUCGUCCUAAUCGCCGUGAUUAUUUCUGAUAGCAUUCUCGGAAGUGCAUGGAAACCACCUGUAGAAGCACCCGGACUGCUCCGAGCUCACCCUGGCCCAGCUCAGCGGUACGACAGGAGUUGCUCCCUGAUUCAUGUGUUCAAAAAUCCACGACAGAAAGGAAAGAGAGGCAGACAAAUACGUAGCUGACCCUGCAGGAAAUGAACACAGCCCACGUAGCAGGAAGAAAACCCUGAAGAAGCCAGAAUUCCCAUCCUCUGUGGAAUGGGAGGGUGGAGCCUUCCCG
rnacentral:lncRNA from 1 species